CAACAUGUUAUUUGAAUUCAAGCAACCAAACCAUUGAAGUCAAUCUCUUUAAUGUCAAGCCAUAAAGCCAUUCGUUUAUUGAAAACGGAUGUCAAGCUUUCUUAGCCCAUGUCAUGGACUUGAACAAAAAUACGUCAGAUUUGAAUGAUAUUUCUGUUGUUAGUAAAAUCCCUGACGUAUUUCCUGAAGAAUUUCUUGGCCUACCUCCAGAGUGUGAUAUUGAAUUUUGUAUCAUCUUUGAAUCCGG
rnacentral:lncRNA from 1 species